UGUGGUGGCGAUAGCAAGAAGGAUACACCUGUAACCAUGCCGAACACAGAAGUUAAGCUUCUUAGCGCCGAUUGUA
rnacentral:rRNA from 1 species